UCCGGCGCCGCACCGCCCCCCACCUACCGGCCACGCACCGCCCCACACCUCCUAAGCGACGCCCGCCCCAUACUCCGACUAUCCAAGCGCCACCGCGCUACCGGCCUGCUCACCGGCAAGGCCCUCCUCCCCCACUGCCGCCAUGGCCGUUCGACGCCAUCACUGCAGGCCGUUCGACGCCACCACCGCAUGUCAUUCAUUGCAGCAGCACCCUGGAUCCGCCCGGCUCCCUUUCCCAGCGCGCCGCCGCCGACCGGCUCCCUCCCCUAGAGCGUCGUUGCGGCCCCAGCCCCACUUCCUUGCCGUGGCACAGCACCGUCGACUGCGCCCUUCCCCAUCUUCCCCCUAGUGCCUCGUGGUGGAAUCACAAAGACAGCUGAUGUUGCUAUUUCUUUUUGCUGAUGCUCAUUCAAAUCUCAUGCUACUUAUGUGCUAAAUUUCUAUAGUUUCUUGUCGAAAUGCCUAUGAGAAGCAAAAAUAUUUUGAUGAAAUUUGAUGUUGUUAUUCCUAUGUUCCAGCAGUUUUUCUGUGUGCUGUAAUUUUCCUCUGUCAAUCCAAAAAAGCAGCAGUUUAGCACGAAAAAUAGUUUUUUCUCUUCUCAUUACACAACAGAAAAGGUAUUUGUCUCCAACUAGCAUUAAGAGUUCAAAGUACACAAAGGAAAAAGGUUCAAUUUUCAAAACUUUAAAGAGUUCAAAGUACACAAGAACAUAAGUCCAGUAUGCUUUGUGUCAGAUAUCUGAUAUUUGUGAGGGGAACUUCAAAUUUUUUUUCAGUUCAACUUUUGAAUGUGUUUCAGUUUGUCUACUUCCCGGUCGUCCUGAGCUGGAGAAUUGCUGCUACUGUUUAUGUGUUUGCAACUGUGAUUGAUGCACUACAUUUCAAUUUCGCAUGUAGUUCAAAGAUUGUAAGGGCUUUGGAGCUUCACUUUUACACUUCAUCUUUUGAAUGCUAUUCGGUUCAUGUACUUCCCAAUCGUAAUGUCCACAUUGUAGAUAAUAUUUGCAUUGUCUUAAAUUUUUGAAAACAAGCUUCAGUACAAGAAAAAUGGGUUAGUCAGUUCAUCCAUAUGCAAACCCUCGUAACAAAACGUAUCGCUAAUCCAAUUAGCUGAGGAUGGGCAACAUAUGUUUAAGCAAGCAUUUAUACCAUGUUACAAAAAAAACUCCCCUCUGUUCCAUAGAAGAUUUUGUGUUUUUUGAUAUAUUUUAGAAAGAGAAGUGUACACACAGUAGCUUGGCAUUUGAUAAUUGUUUGCAACUCGUACAUUAGUUUGAUGAUUAUGUAAUUGCAUUAGGGCGUUACCGUAGGUCUAAUAGUCUAGUAUGUAUUUGAUAAUUGUUUGGGGGUGCCUAGUCUGGCAAGAGUUUUCAAGUAGUGAAGAUUUCAGCAGUAAACUAUGCAAACAAUUUAAAAGUACUCAAGUCCAACUUGCAAACCAGUAGCAGUCCUAUAGUGCAGCAUGCAUAAAAUUCAAAAAUAGCAAAACUGACUUGAAACAAAUUCCCAUCUGGUUGUUUAUUUCGUAGCUCAUCGUGUCUAAUACAAGCCAAUGCUUCUAUUCUAAUCUAGUUGUUUAUUUUGUAGCUCGCGUUUUCUAAUGUAAUGUUAAAAGUCCACUAGAUGAAAAAUUCUCUGUGUUAGCUAGAUCAGUACUAGUACUCAGCAGUACAACAAGUAGCAGUACUGAUCAGUACGACUUACACAAAAAUACUAGUACUGAUCAGUAAUAUUCUUAAUAUUAGAAGUAACAUCCAUAUAAGAAAAAUGCUUCUAUUCUAACACAUUUUUUUUGGAAAAAAGAGAACUAGUACUGAUGAGUCGUACUGACAAGGAUGUCGUCUACAAUUCUGAUGAGUCAUACUGACAAGGACAUAAUUAUUGUGCAAAUGGAAAAAACAAAAUGUUUUAUAAAGAAAUUUGCUUGAAGUUCAAUUACUAUAGUCUAAAAAAUUCAAUUACAUCGCUAGUGCAUUCAGAAUUGCUAAUUUUUUGAAAAAUGAAGUUCCUGUUUCAGGAUUAUGUAAGUUCAAAAAUAUUGUAUGAUGUGUGUGCCAUAGUUAUCUGAACAUUGAUUCUGACUAAUAUUCCAUUAUAGCACUACUGCAUAUUCACUUCUGAUUGCUUCUUGCUGCCACUAUUUUUAUCAUGAUUUUGUGUGUCCACCGAGGAGUGUUUUUAUUCAUAGGAAACUGAACCAAUAACAGUGGUUGCUACUAGUGUUUGGAAAUUAUAAUUACUAGAACUCUUAUUUCUCACCCUUUUAAUUGCUGGCUAAUUCUUGUAAAAAAGUAGUGGUUAAUCUUGCUAAUUACUUUGAUGUGAUGCCUAGGUGGUCAGUCCAGCUCCUGCAACCAACACAGGCCGUUGCCCCUUUUGCCACAACGGCAGCAGCACAAACAUUAGUGUGGUCGUCCUCAACCAGUUCCUCACGCGGCCUCCGCGCAAGCCCUGCUCAUGUAUGCUUAUACCAAAAGUACAACUCUUGCUACUCUCCUUGUACUUGCACUUGCUUAUUUUCUAAGCAAUAAUUCCUAUUGCUUCCUCUUGGGGGAAGGGAUCCCAUGUUAAAGCUGUCUUGGUGCUCACCCACUGUUUAUAUUCAUCACCAUAGUGUACGAAACAUAUGAAAACCAUUCUGGCUUCGGAGAAAAUAUAACGAGUACAUGUGCAAUCACGCGAGAAGUUCCCUUAUGAAAGUUCCUUGUAAAGAAACCACAUGAAAGUUCAUCGAGAAAAACUUUGUAAGUUCAAAACGGCUAUAGGAAAACUUUGUAGGUUCAGAUGGGUAUAGAAAACUUCGUAAGUUCAAAAUGGCCACGCUUAACAGUGCAUGAAUAAAUAAACUAUACCCAACAAAGUCCAUGUUGGUCGGUCUACAGUGUGUUGUCAAGAAGGUUGUUGGCCGACACUGGCUGAUCAUCUACCUUCCAAUUGUUAUUAGGCAUAUACCACUGAAACUGCAGGUCGCGCCCUCCUCCCGCUGUAGGUCGCGCCCUCCUCCCGCAUAGCCUAUUGGUUGGCGUACCAUGACCCCUCCUCAUGUUUUUGGUAUGAAUUUGAUGAAUCUUCUUGAUGCUCUGUUCUUAUUCAUCUAGAGAUUCCUCCUCAUAUUGAUUGUUUGUAUUUCUUGUACCGGUUUUGUUCUUGCAUGUAUGUAUCAGUUCGAUGUUUUGAGAUAGCUCAUAUUACUUCCAACUGUGAAGAUUGACAUGCAUAUUUGGGGAUGAGAUUUUCAGCAGUUCAACAGGGGCGUGGGGUUCAGUUCGAAAGGUGAUGACCCAGGCAGCCGACCUUCGCAUAACGAACUGGUGCAGUUUGAUCUUGUGUGAAUUGGAAAUCACCUGAUGCUGAGUGUGUCAGUACAACCCUACGCUACAAGGCACGCGUACAUCGACUUCAUGUGUUAGUCAAUAGUAUUGUGCAUUUUCUUGGUACCUUUGCUACUCUAGCCAAAAAUAUUUUGUUGUUCACUUUUCUGUGUUUUGUUGAAUAAUUCUCAUGCUGUGUUUUCUGUGAGCUACAAAAUCAUAGUGCUUAAAAGACCGAUGUGUGCGUCAUACUUGAAUUACAGAAGUUACAGGAGAAAGUACCCCUAUUCCAUUACUUUGAGUAGUACAAGUACACCUUUCUGAUAGUACAGUGCAAGCCCUGCACAAAUGGCGCAGUGGUAGAUGCUUGGUGAAGUCCGUUAUAGCUUGAGGUUUACUCUGAGGGAGUUCAUGUCGAACUGCGCUUCAACUAUGCAUGAUGCUUUUUUCGGAGAAAGAAACUAUGGAAGGCUCAAAUUAUCUUGAUAGUUCAAUCACUGAAAAAUGAGGAGUUCUGGGGGCUACAUACAACCUUUCUAUAAAAAAAUAGAGUAGAACAAGUAAUGAUCAUAUUUGUCAUCAUGCUUUUAGCUAAAAUAGUGUAUGAUUGAAACUCGGUUCCAUUUAGAUCACUAAUUACUAUAAAGGCGAUUUGAAGUUUCAUCCACAUCAUGUUCUUGCAUCAAGUGGCACUGUUUGAUGUACCACUGAAUUGCAGUUUGGUUCAGUUCUUAUUCCAGUGACCAAGUUAGAUCAAUUUUUAUUUUGUGUUCAAUUCAGUUCAGUUUCUGCCCCGCAUAUAAGUUCACCUAUUUUAUUGCUAAAAUAGGUUCAUUUUGUUCCCUGUAGGAUCUUGCCAUGAUUACCUUUGUGAAACCUGUACACUCAACACUCAUAUCUAUGUAUUGAGAACCAAAUUUCUUUUAAUAAUGAGCUUUACUUUCAUACUAACAUUUCAUUUAUCUUCUUUUACAGUAGAGCAAAUACUAUUUUUUAUGCCAAGUAAGUUCAAACAGAACUGAAAGUGGAGGUACAUAACCAAUUCAAAUGCUUGUUUUGGUUAUGUUUAUGGAAACUCAUAAUUUUUAUCUUUGUCCACUGUUAGCUAUGUAAAACAAAUCAAUAAAAAGUUCACUUUUCAAUGCUUUAAUAGUUCAAUUGGUAAAAACAGUAGGUGUUCAUUCUACAAAAAAGCACUGACUUUUAUGUGUAAAGAAAGAAAUGGAAAUCUAUAAGUUCAUACAGGGACAUAUAUAUGGUGAACUUGCGUCCAGCACACGAGCAUUUGCUUCCACCACUAAAGGCAUUUGUAUCCGGCACAUGAGCUACAUGAGCUACAUGCUCAACAGUUGCACACUGCCGCCAUGGACAUGCACAAAUGAUAUUAAGUAGAAGUUUGUUAGUUCAGUUUUUUAUUGAUUUACCUUGUUUAAGUAAUAGUGCAGCAAUAAAGGUGUAGUUGUACAGAGUUUUAGUUGCUAUAUGGGGAACCCAUAGGCCAUUUAUUUUGGUUUACAGUUCAGCUUGUGUGUUCUUUUCAGUCUGUAUGCUUUAUUGUGCAUAAAAGGUGUAGUUCUAUAACAAGGGCAAAAGUUACUGGGUUCAACAAAAACGAAAAUGCUAGUUUCUCUUUUAUGUGAUUUUUAGUUCUUCCCCGCGCUCUUUUGUGAUGCUCUGGCAAAAAGAUGACUAUAGUUGUUAUAGAAAAAACAGUACAAACUUUUUAUAAAGUUUGUUUUUUUGAACUUCUCCCAAUCAAUAUACUGAACUUGAUUAUCUUUUUAACAGUACUUGCAUCAACUCAUUGGAAUUGGUGUGUGUGCUUGUAACACAAUCAGUUCAGAUCUCGAGAGACCAUAAGUUUGUUGACAAACAUGUAUAUUAGUUCAUAUCUCGAGAGUCCAUAAUUUUGUAAGGCCAGAAAAUGCAAUGGCUUAGUACAUCACAGCAGCUCUCUGAUGCAGAAAGGAUGGCUCUUCUCAAGUCAGCAGCUAAACAAACUGGCAACUUCAGGGUAGCUCAAUCAAUAUAGGAGCUGUGCAGUAAACAGCUUCAGUCGAGAAAUCAGCAAGUUGUAAUGCAUAGUGUCUUCCAGGCACCUGUUUGUUGUUUCCUAAUCACCCUAAUUCCUAAAAUAUUCUACUCAACUUCAGCGCCAUGCUCAGUCCAACCACAUGGCUUCAGGGUGCCCGAGUUCGUCGCGACCAUCAGUUCGAAGACUGCCACUGCGUGUGUCGCUACCAUGGCCACCUGCGUCACUGCGUGCUCCGUCAACAGCCUCCUGCGCAAGGAAAAGCAACAGGAGUAGAGCCAUCUGAGAUGCAAGGAAAAGCAACAGGAGUAGAGCCAUCUGAGAUGCUCUGUUCUAGCGAGGUGGCUUAUUAUGUUUGUCAGUUUGUAAUACUUUGGCCGCAAUGUACUUGUGUAUCUUUUUUUGAACGGAGCACGAACAGAGAUUAUGUCAUUA